rnacentral:rRNA from 1 species
GGACGAACGCUGGCGGCGUGCUUAACACAUGCAAGUCGAACGGAAAGGCCCUGCUUUUGUGGGGUGCUCGAGUGGCGAACGGGUGAGUAACACGUGAGUAACCUUCCCUUUACUUUGGGAUAACUUCAGGAAACUGGGGCUAAUACCGGAUAGGAGCUCCUGCUGCAUGGUGGGGGUUGGAAAGUUUCGGCGGUUGGGGAUGGACUCGCGGCUUAUCAGCUUGUUGGUGGGGUAGUGGCUUACCAAGGCUUUGACGGGUAGCCGGCCUGAGAGGGUGACCGGCCACAUGGGGACUGAGAUACGGCCCAGAAUCCUACGGGAGGCAGCAGUGGGGAGUAUUGCACAAUGGGCGGAAGCCUGAUGCAGCAACGCCGCGUGCGGGAUGACGGCCUUCGGGUUGUAAACCGCUUUCGCCUGUGACGAAGCGUGAGUGACGGUAAUGGGUAAAGAAGCACCGGCUAACUACGUG